rnacentral:rRNA from 1 species
CUUUAAAUGAGGACUAGUAUGAACGGCUUCACGAAUGCUAUACUGUCUCCUUUGUCCAAUCAGUUAAACUAAUCUCCCCGUGAAGAAGCGGGGAUUCACUUAUAAGACGAGAAGACCCUAUGGAGCUUUAAACACUCUUAAACAUUUGAACCCUUUAUUACUCACCUCCAGAAAACUUCACUAAACUACUCAUUUUGUUUAAACUUUUAGGUUGGGGCGACCACGGAGAAUAACCUAACCUCCACGUGGAAAGAAACUUAAUUCUAAGCAAAAAGCCACAUCUUUAUGCAUCAAUAAUAUUGACCUA